rnacentral:rRNA from 1 species
GACGAACGCUGGCGGCGUGCCUAACACAUGCAAGUCGAACGGAGAAGUUCAGCAAUGGAUUUCUUAGUGGCGAACGGGUGAGUAACGCGUAGACAACCUGCCUCUAAGCUGGGGACAACAACUCGAAAGGGUUGCUAAUACCGAAUGCGAACAGUGCCUCGCAUGAGAUGCUGUUUGAAGGUGGCCUCUGAAUAUGCUACCGCCUAAAGAUGGGUCUGCGUCUGAUUAGCUAGUUGGAGGGGUAAUGGCCCACCAAGGCGACGAUCAGUAGCCGGUCUGAGAGGAUGAACGGCCACACUGGGACUGAGACACGGCCCAGACUCCUACGGGAGGCAGCAGUGGGGAAUCUUCCGCAAUGGACGAAAGUCUGACGGAGCAACGCCGCGUGAGUGAAGAAGGCCCUCGGGUCGUAAAGCUCUGUCUUCAGGGACGAAUGUGCAGAUUGUGAGUAAUGGUUUGUAAUGACGGUACCUGAGGAGGAAGCCACGGCUGACUACGUGCCAGCAGCCGCCGUAA